rnacentral:rRNA from 1 species
CCCUCGACCUUAGUUGCCAGCAUUCAGUUGGGCACUCUAAGGUGACUGCCGGCUAAAAAGUCGGAGGAAGUGGGGAUGACGUCAAAUCAUCAUGCCCUUAUGACCUGGGCUACACACGUGCUACAAUGGGCGGUACAAAGGGUCGCGAACCCGCAGGGGGAGCCAAUCCCAAAAAGCCGCUCUCAGUUCGGAUUGCAGGCUGCAACUCGCCUGCAUGAAGCCGGAAUCGCUAGUAAUCGCGGAUCAGCAUGCCGCGGUGAAUACGUUCCCGGGUCUU